UUGUAAGGUGGCUGAAUUGUAGGCGGUGGGUUGUAAUUCCAUUUAUAGGGUAAUCCCUUCUUUACA
rnacentral:tRNA from 1 species